CCUACGGGUGGCAGCAGUGGGGGAUAUUGCACAAUGGGGGGAACCCUGAUGCAGCGACGCCGCGUGGGUGAAGGAGCGUUUCGGCGCGUAAAGCCCUAUCGGCAGGGAAGAAGAUGACGGUACCUGACCAAGAAGCCCCGGCUAACUACGUGCCAGCAGCCGCGGUAAUACGUAGGGGGCAAGCGUUAUCCGGAUUUAUUGGGUUAAAAGGGUGCGUAGGCGGGCUUUUAAGUCAGCGGUAAAAAUUCGGGGCUCAACCCCGUCCGGCCGUUGAAACGGGGGGCCUUGGGUGGGCGAGAAGAAGGCGGAAUGCGUGGUGUAGCGGUGAAAUGCAUAGAUAUCACGCAGAACCCCGAUUGCGAAGGCAGCCUUCCGGCGCCCUACUGACGCUGAGGCACGAAAGUGCGGGGAUCGAACAGGAUUAGAUACCCGUGUAGUC
rnacentral:rRNA from 1 species